rnacentral:lncRNA from 1 species
CUAUAGCGACACAUUUAAAUGUAGGUACAUGUCAAAAAAGUGCUGCUAGCUAAAAUUACCGACAUUUUUAAAAAGUGUUGCUAUAUGUGGGGUCGCUAGGUAUAUAGUGACAGUUAAAGAGUGUCGCUAUAACCUAAAAGAGUGCUGUUAAUUUACGAACACUUAUUUAAGCAUUUAGCAACCGCCGAAACUCUAUCUCGUUGGCUGCGGUGGCGGAGGAGGACGACAGUAAAGGCUUUUCGUCUAGAAUUUCAGUGGGUUGAGUGAAGAGAGAAGAAAAGUUGGUAAUUGAUUUAUCCUUUUUUUUUUCUUUUCUGUUUGUAAUCGGGCCAAAUGGACUGUGUGUGGUGGGUUUAGCAGAGCAAUCUUUUAUUUUUGGUUGGAUUGUGCUUUAUAUUUAGGCAUUAGUAGAUAUAUUUUUAAGUUUUAGCAUAAAUGGGACACUUACUCAAAAGUGUCCCAAACAUGUGUCCCUAUAACCUAAUUCUGUUGUGGUGGUGCUACCUAU